AUUGAACGCUGCGGCAUGCCUUACACAUGCAAGUCGAACGGCAGCACGGGAGCAAUCCUGGUGGCGAGUGGCGAACGGGUGAGUAAUACAUCGGAACGUGCCCUGUCGUGGGGGAUAACUAGUCGAAAGAUUAGCUAAUACCGCAUACGACCUGAGGGUGAAAGCGGGGGACCGUAAGGCCUCGCGCGAUAGGAGCGGCCGAUGUCUGAUUAGCUAGUUGGUGGGGUAAAGGCCCACCAAGGCGACGAUCAGUAGCUGGUCUGAGAGGACGAUCAGCCACACUGGGACUGAGACACGGCCCAGACUCCUACGGGAGGCAGCAGUGGGGAAUUUUGGACAAUGGGGGCAACCCUGAUCCAGCAAUGCCGCGUGUGUGAAGAAGGCCUUCGGGUUGUAAAGCACUUUUGUCCGGAAAGAAAUCCCUUGCCCUAAUACGGCGGGGGGAUGACGGUACCGGAAGAAUAAGCACCGGCUAACUACGUGCCAGCAGCCGCGGUAAUACGUAGGGUGCGAGCGUUAAUCGGAAUUACUGGGCGUAAAGCGUGCGCAGGCGGUUUUGUAAGACAGGCGUGAAAUCCCCGAGCUCAACUUGGGAAUGGCGCUUGUGACUGCAAGGCUAGAGUAUGUCAGAGGGGGGUAGAAUUCCACGUGUAGCAGUGAAAUGCGUA
rnacentral:rRNA from 1 species